UCAAGCGUUUAAGGGCGUGUGGCGGAUGCCUUGGCACUGAAAGCCGAUGAAGGACGUGAUAUACUGCGAUAAGUUUCGGGGAGCUGUAUGUAAGUUUUGAUCCGAAAAUUUCCGAAUGGGGAAACCCACCACUUUAUGUGGUACUUUAAACUGAAUACAUAGGUUUAAAGAGACAACCUGGAGAACUGAAACAUCUAAGUAACCAGAGGAAAAGAAAUCAAUUGAGAUUCCGUUAGUAGUGGCGAGCGAACGCGGACUAGGCCAGUAGUUUUGUUUAAAAAAUUUGAAUAGUUUGGAAAAGCUAACCAUAGAGGGUGAUAGUCCCGUAUGAGUAAUGUUAAACAAAAUUCUUGAGUAGGGCGGGACACGAGAAAUCCUGUUUGAAUAUAGGGGGACCACCCUCUAAGCCUAAAUACUCUUCAGUGACCGAUAGUGAACUAGUACCGUGAGGGAAAGGUGAAAAGAACCCCUAUUAGGGGAGUGAAAUAGAACCUGAAACCGCAUGCCUACAAUCAGUCGAAGCUCUUUUUAGAGUGACGGCGUACCUUUUGUAUAAUGGGUCAGUGACUUAAUUUAUUAAGCAAGCUUAAGCCAUCUAGGUGUAGGCGCAGCGAAAGCAAGUCUUAAUAGGGCGAUUAGUUUAAUGAAUUAGACCCGAAAACGAAUGAGCUUACCAUGAGCAGGUUGAAAGCAAGGUAACACUUGCCGGAGGACCGAACCAGUUGACGUUGAAAAGUCUUUGGAUGACUUGUGGUAAGGGGUGAAAGGCCAACCAAAUUCGUAGAUAGCUGGUUUUCCGCGAAAACUAUUUAGGUAGUGCGUUGAAUAAAUUUAUGUUUGGAGGUAGAGCACUAAACGGGCUAGGGGGGAGAAAUCUUUACCAAACCUGAUAAAACUCCGAAUGCCAGACAUAUUACUUCAACAGACAGACUGUGGGUGCUAAGGUCCAUGGUCGAGAGGGAAAGAGCCCAGACCACCAGAUAAGGUCCCAAAAUUAUGAUUAAGUGUGAAAGGAUGUGGAAAUUCCUUAACAGCCGGGAGGUUGGCUUAGAAGCAGCCAUCCUUUAAAGAUAGCGUAACAGCUCACCGGUCUAAUAGAGUUUCUGCGCCGAAGAUGUAACGGGGCUAAAAUCAUAUACCGAAUCUGUGGGUUUAUAAAACUUUCGAGUUUUAUAAGCGGUAGCGGAACGUUCUGUAAGCCUGUGAAGGAGUACCCGUGAGGGACUCUGGAGGUAUCAGAAGUGCGAAUGCUGACAUAAGUAACGAUAAAAGAAGUGAAAAACUUCUUCGCCGAAAAUCCAAGGGUUUCUGCGCAAGGUUAAUCCGCGCAGAGUUAGUCGGCACCUAAGGCGAGGGCGAAAGCCGUAGUCGAUGGAAAUAAGGUUAAUAUUCCUUAACCAGAUGGUAGUGACGGAUCUUGUAAGUUGUGUACUCUUAAUGGAUUGAGUAUGCCGCGAAAAGGUUCCAAGAAAUAGCUCCAUCAUUAGACCGUACCCUAAACCGACACAGGUGGAUUAAUAGAGUAUAUUUAGGCGCUUGAGAGAAUGAUGUUGAAGGAACUCGGCAAAAUGCUUCCGUAACUUCGGGAUAAGGAAGACCCUCCUGUAGGCAACUAUGGAAGGGUGGCACAAGCCAGGGAGAAGCGACUGUUUAUCAAAAACACAGGGCUCUGCUAACACGUAAGUGGAUGUAUAGGGUCUGACGCCUGCCCGGUGCUGGAAGGUUAAUGCGGUUGGUGCAAGCUAACUUCUGAAGCCCCAGUAAACGGCGGCCGUAACUAUAACGGUCCUAAGGUAGCGAAAUUCCUUGUCGGGU
rnacentral:rRNA from 1 species